rnacentral:rRNA from 27 species
GACUCUCGGCAACGGAUAUCUCGGCUCACGCAUCGAUGAAGAACGUAGCAAAAUGCGAUACUUGGUGUGAAUUGCAGAAUCCCGUGAACCAUCGAGUUUUUGAACGCAAGUUGCGCCCGAAGCCUUUCGGCCGAGGGCACGUCUGCCUGGGCGUCACAC